rnacentral:rRNA from 1 species
UUUAACUGAAGAGUUUGAUCAUGGCUCAGAUUGAACGCUGGCGGCAGGCUUAACACAUGCAAGUCGAGCGGGGGAAGGUAGCUUGCUACCGGACCUAGCGGCGGACGGGUGAGUAAUGCUUAGGAAUCUGCCUAUUAGUGGGGGACAA